CCUUAUCUUUAGCUUUGAUGUUGGAUUGUUUAGAUUCUUCUAGAUGUCAGCAUUUAGCUGGUAAGUAUUGUUCCUUUUUGCCCCACUCUAUGUUACACCAUGGAUUUUUGCCCAUGUGGUUUUCUUGGCAAAGGUCCUGAAGUAGUUUGCCAUUUCUUUUUCUAGCAUCUUCCUAUUUUAUAGACGAAGAACUGAAACAAAUAGAGAUUAAGCGACUUGUCCAGGGUCACACAGCUAGUAAAUGUAUAAAGCCAGAUUUGAACUUUGGUCUUUGUGACUUCAGCCCCCAGCACUAUCCAUUGUGCCAAUCCAUAGCUGCCUUCUGAUAAACUGUUCAGCCUAACUAAAGAGGUCAAUCAGGGAAAUGAGAAAUGAGUGCUGGUUACAAUAAACAUAGAGAGGCACAUUUUCAGAAUGAUGUGCUGAAUAUGUAUGCUCAAAGCCAAUUAUGGAAGUGCUGUACAUACCACUCUGGCCAUAUUUUGAAGAUCAGCAAACCUCUUAAAGGUCUCUCCAAUGAGUUGGGUGAUGACCGUUACCCAGGGAACAGGGUGAAAGAUUCGAACAGUGCUUUCUGAAGAGAUAUCAUAGGUUUUUCAUUAAAAAGAAUAAAUUUAAUGAUCAGGUAAUUGGUGUAGGAAAUUGAAGGAUUCAGAGGCCUUUCAUUCCACCUGCAAAAAUAAGUAGUGUGGGAAGUCAGGAUUCUCCAAAGUUAUAUGGUAUAGAAAAAGCAGCGUGACUCCACGUUAGAAGAACUAGGUUUGAUUAUUAGCACAGGAACUGAAUAGCUCUGACUGUAAAUAAGCUGUGAUAUCUUUGGGCUUCAGUUUCUUCACAUUUAAAGUGAGAAUAUUAGUAUUUGUACUGCCAGUGUUGUUGUGAAGAAAUUGCUAUAUAAGUGUGAGUUGCUAUUAUGAUACCUUCAGCAGCACGAAUCAGUUCUAGGGCCUGCAAGUGCAACCUGGGCUGGUCUGGGCAUGCCCAGAUCUCCAAACAAGGAGGUGGUCUGACAGAUUUUUGGCUGCAUCUAAUACUAGCAAAACUGAGGCCUUUGUUCUGUCUGUCUGUCUCUCUCCCUCCCCACCUCUGUCUCUGUCUCUGUCUCUGUCUCUGUCUCUGUCUCUGUCUCUGUCUCUCCCUAUCCCCGCCCCUGCCUCUCUCUCCAUCUUUCUGUCUCUGUUUCUUUCUCUCUGUCUCUAUCUCUCUCUGCCUCUCCCUAUCUGUCUCUGUCUGUCUCCCCCUGCUUGUCCCUCUCUCUCGCUCUGCCUCUCCAUCUCUUUCUGUCUCUCUCUUUCUUUCUGUCUGUCUCUCUCUCUGUCUCCUUUCCCAGCCUCUCUCCUCAUUUCUUAUUAUAGGAUGA
rnacentral:lncRNA from 1 species